AUUGAACGCUGGCGGCAUGCUUUACACAUGCAAGUCGAACGGCAGCGCGGGCUUCGGCCUGGCGGCGAGUGGCGAACGGGUGAGUCAUGCAUCGGAACGUGCCCAGACGUGGGGGAUAGACCGGCGAAAGCCGGAUUAAUACCGCAUACGACCUGAGGGUGAAAGCGGGGGACCGCAAGGCCUCUCGCUAUUGGAGCGGCCGAUGUCGGAUUAGAUAGGUGGUGGGGUAAAGGCUUACCAAGGCGACGAUCCGUAGCUGGUCUGAGAGGACGACCAGCCACACUGGGACUGAGACACGGCCCAGACUCCGACAGGAGGCAGCAGUGGGGAAUUUUACGGGAGGGGGCCAACCCUGAUCCAGCAAUGCCGCCGGAGGGAUGAAGGCCUUCGGGUUGGAAACCGCUGUUGUUCGGGAAGAAGUCAUGUGGUCUUAUACCCCAGGGUAAUGACGGUACCGGAAGAAUAAGCACCGGCUAACUACGUG
rnacentral:rRNA from 1 species